AACGGACAGCCCAAGAGCGGCUACAGGCGACUGCGUUUUCCCCGCCUGGCUGCGAUGGCCCUGGUCAACCAAUGGUGCGGUAGGCUCCGCGCCUGGUACAGGUGUCAGGAUUCCUGGAGAAAUGACUCAAUUUGGUCAAAGCUGGGAAUGAAAAAUACCUCUUGGAAGAACAAUGAUCCAGAAAAGGAGAAUCUCAAGAUGAACAAGGUCUUUUAGGAAGGAGUGAGUUGUUCUCACUAGACAAAGUGAGAACAACUUGAGGAGCAGAACAACUAGAAAUUAUAAAAUGAUCACUAAAUUUAUGUCAUUCCCUUCAGGAAGUAAACAAAUUAAAACAGAGAAGAGAACCACAUUGCCACUCCAUCAGUGGUGAAUACUUCUGAUACACUUUUAUAAAGUAGUUAUUUAAGAAAAUGAGUAUUCUACCUUUCUAGUACUAGCUGUAUUUUUUGAAAACCAAAUAGCAUUAGGCGAUGAAGAAGCAAUUAUCUGUUUAAAAAAAAUGCAUACUGUCUAAAUGCAGGAAAUGGGGGUACUGGGAUUAGAACAUCCAUCUCUGAUGCAACCAAACUCCCUGUCAGGAACAUCAGGCCACAGGGAAUGUUUAUAGGAUAUCAGUUAUCCUCUAAGGCUCACUGUUAGUCAUUGGACAGGGGGACUGUCCAAUGUUCAUUUGGGAAACCUGACCUCUCUCACCUGAUGGCCAGUCAAUCUGGUCACCAAUAAAAAAAGACUAGCCUGACAUAGUCUUCUGCUAGGAAGCAACAUGAAUCUGGGCAUUAUGGACUCGGGAGGCAGAGGCAGGCAGAUCUCUGUGAGUUCAAGGCCAGCCUGGCCUACAGAGUGAGUUCCAGGAUGGCCAGGACUGUUAAACAGAGAAACCCUGUUUAAACAACAACAACAACAACAAUAAUAACAAUAUGAAGAAACCCCCACAUCUGUGAACUACAAUUUACAAAGGUCUUUAGCCUCAAAAAGAAGCCCUUUAUAUCACCCUGUUCCAGAAACCAUUCACAUAUAAGAACAAAUGGCAGUAGAAGAAAACAAUGGAGAACUCAAGAACGCCUUGAACAUAUCUCGUACAUUGUUGUGAUUAAAAAUAAAAGGUAAGA